rnacentral:rRNA from 1 species
GAUGAACGCUGGCGGCGUGCCUAAUACAUGCAAGUCGAGCGAACGGACGAGAAGCUUGCUUCUCUGAUGUUAGCGGCGGACGGGUGAGUAACACGUGGAUAACCUACCUAUAAGACUGUGAUAACUUCGGGAAACCGGAGCUAAUACCGGAUAAUAUUUUGAACCGCAUGGUUCAAAAGUGAAAGACGGUCUUGCUGUCACUUAUAGAUGGAUCCGCGCUGCAUUAGCUAGUUGGUAAGGUAACGGCUUACCAAGGCAACGAUGCAUAGCCGACCUGAGAGGGUGAUCGGCCACACUGGAACUGAGACACGGUCCAGACUCCUACGGGAGGCAGCAGUAGGGAAUCUUCCGCAAUGGGCGAAAGCCUGACGGGGCAACGCCGCGUGAGUGAUGAAGGUCUUCGGAUCGUAAAACUCUGUUAUUAGGGAAGAACAUAUGUGUAAGUAACUGUGCACAUCUUGACGGUACCUAAUCAGAAAGCCACGGCUAACUACGUG